rnacentral:tRNA from 1 species
AGGGGACAGUCUGGUCUAGGACACGGGGUUUCCAACCCCGGAACACGGGUUCAAAUCCCGUCGA